rnacentral:lncRNA from 1 species
GAGCAAGUUUCAGGACAGUCAGAGAAACACAGAAAAAUCCUGUCUGGAAACACUCUCCCCAAAAUAAAAUAAAAAUAAUGGGAAGCUGCAGAGUCGGCUCAGUGGUCAGGAGCACGGGCUGCUCUUGCAGAGGACCCAGGAUCUGUUCCCAGCACCCACAUGGCAGCUGUCAACUAACUCCAGCUCCAGGGGAUCUGGCGCCCUCUACUGGCCUCCACAGGCAUAGUGCAUACACAUGCAAGUACACAGAGAUACAUGGAAGCAAAAGACUUAUAAAAUAAAAAUAUUAUAUAACAACAACAAAA